rfam:TPA: Bos taurus chromosome 14, whole genome shotgun sequence.
CCUGAUAGCUCAGUUGGUAAAGGAUCCGCCUGCCAUGCGGGAGACCCAGGUUUGACUCCUGGGUCGGGA